UAAAGCGAAUGGUGAAAUCUGGGGGCUCAACCUCACAGACUAUCAUUCGAACUCACUGACUCGAGAACAGCAGAGGUAACUGGAAUUUCUGAAGUAGGGGUAAUAUCCGUAGAUAUCAGAAGGAACACCAAUGGCGUAGGCAGGUUACUGGGCUGUUUCUGACACUGAGGCACGAAAGCGUGGGAGCGACCGGGAUUAGAUACCCCGUUAGUCCACGCCGUAAACGAUGGAUGCUA
rnacentral:rRNA from 1 species